CUGCACACGUCCUCACAACAAGCCAGAAGUCCAGCUGCAGUGAAGAUGAAGAUUUUGCUUCUCACUCUUGUACUGUGUUGGGUUGUUGUUGACGAAGGAGAAGCAGCGCCUGGGAAACAUGGCGGUCCUCUGAUCAUAUGCCCGCCCGUUAACCCGCUGAUCAGAUGCUUCGCCGCCGUUCAAGGAUGUGUAUACGACAGGGACUGCCGCAAGAACGGUCAAGUGGGCCGCUGCUGUAGGGUACCAUGUGGCAAGAUUGUGUCUAUG